rnacentral:lncRNA from 1 species
UGACAAACCGUCAAUGCCAAGUAUUACGUAGAAGUCCUCAAGAGACUCAAACGAAGGAUCUAUCCCGUCCACAAGACAUCGCAGCCGAUUGGAAGUUGCACAGCGACAACGCCCCGGCUCACACCGCCAAUCUUUUGAAGAGCUACCUAACCAACGCCGGCAUCACAAUGCUACCGCAGCCACCCUACAGCCCAGAUGUGGCCCCCGAUAGUUUAUUCUGCAUGCAUAAAGAAAAAGCUUGCAAAAUCGCCUUCAAAAAUCAAAUAAGAUAACAGCAUAUGUAUAUGGUAAUAUUAUUAACGAGUAAGGAGGAGCUAAGUUUAGACAAUGGAUAUUUAAGCAAUUCUUGAGCCUUAUUUUGGACCGCAACUUAUAAGAAAUUUCAAUUAUAUAUCUAUUGGAUCGAGAUCAGACACACCACACCUCCAAUCAAACUCCAGUGUGGCCUCAUUUGUGUCCGCAGUAGAUCUGGUAUCAACAAAGACAUUCGAAUACUAUUUAAAGCAGACCUCUUAAAAUAUUUCAAGCACCUUUAAUUACUUGAUUAUUGAUAUUUAUUAUUAAUUAAUAUUUUGAUUCUUGCUUUUGCUUACAAAUAUGCUAUGUCGUUCAAUCGCGCCCAAAAAUUAAGCAGGCAAUCAAGCGAAUUUGAAAUGAUCAAAUGUCUCAUAAAUACAUAAAAUUGUCAAAUAUGGCUAAGAGAAA